UCCUCUUAUUGAAAAAGCCCUCCGAUAAGAAAUCGUGAGGUGACAUCUUUCGUGAUGCAAGUACAUGUGGACCAACAGGAAGUUGUGACUGCUGCCUUUCGACUCUGAUGGGAAGCGUGCUUGUUUUGGUCGUUGGCUUUCCCAUAUAUAAAGGAGCUUAUGUGCCGCUCUGUGGAGUUUCAUGAGCCAUGGAGAAAAGUGUGUUAGUACUCCUGUUGUGUCUUCAGGCCUUCCUGUUCAUCCCCGCGUUAGACGCGGCCGACGCCGCGCCUUGGUUGACGGGCAUUCGGCAACGAAAUCCGGGAAGAGCCAAACCAAAAAGAAGACCAUGGUUUGGAUAUAAUCGAUACUGUUACCUGAGACCAGGAGCAUGCUCUCUGUUGGUAAAGGUAUGAAGAUAUUCUUGAAGUUGUCUUGUACCAAGGAGUAUUGGAGCGCACUGAAAAGAAAAAAAACAACACAUC